CGCGGCGGCGUUUUCACGCAGACGCCCGUGCAAACGCGGCCCGGAUCGCGCCGGGGCCUCUCCGUCGCGGCAGAAAGCUGCCUGGCGGCCCCUCUCCAGGCACGAGCGAUCCCCUCCCCCGGCCACUUUCCCGAGCCUGUCGCCGCGGGUUGAGCGACACUGUGCGGUCUCCGGGUUGGGAGCGUUGUAAAUAAUACCUGCAUGGACGUUCUGGUUCCCACGCAGCCAAUCGGGGACCCAGGCACUCAUUGCUCUUGGGUGAAGUCUACUUGGGAGGGGGGUCGCAAGUUCACACCGAGACCAUCCAUCUGGGAUCUCCCUGCUUCUGUGGUCCUUUCUCUGCACAGUAGCCAGAGGGAUCCUUUUGAAAUGCUGUCACUCCAUCUGCUUAAACUCCUGCAAAGGUGAGCAAGUCCCCUGCAGAAAGCAGCCUCACCCUUACCCCAGCCCCACCUCCAGUGAUCUGACCUGGGCUUCACACAUCCCUUGCUCCUGCCAGGCCGAGGGUCCCCCGGGCCCCAGCUGGGCAUCCACGGCAUGGUGACUGUCUCUGCUUGGUGUCCUUCCCAGGGCAGGGCUGCCCACUCUCUGCCUGGGCCCUUGUGUCUCUGCCUGGUCUUGCCUGGAGACCAGCCUUGCUGAGGAGACCAGCUCUGAUUCAUCUGAGUCUUUGGCAUCCAGCACUGGGCUGGGUCACAGAAAAUAACUGAGCUGGGAGAGUACACCCUGUGGGUUUCCAGCCCAUGGCUCUGGACAGACUUUGAGUCUCCAGUCUGCCCUCCGGCAAGCAUCCUAUCAGUUCUGUGCCUCAGUUUCUUCAUCUUCAAAAUGGGGAUGAUUGAUAUCAAGUGAAAAAGUCCUGUACAGCGCUUAGCUUCAAAGAGCGAACUAAAGACUGUCUUAGAAAGAAUAA